AACGAACGCUGGCGGCAGGCUUAACACAUGCAAGUCGAACGCCCCGCAAGGGGAGUGGCAGACGGGUGAGUAACACGUGGGAACAUGCCCAAAGGUACGGAAUAUCCUCGGGAAACUGGGAGACAAUACCGUAUGUGCCCGAAAGGGGAAAGAUUUAUCGCCUUUGGAUUGGCCCGCGUCGGAUUAGCUAGUUGGUGGGGUAAAAGCCUACCAAGGCGACGAUCCGUAGCUGGUCUGAGAGGACGACCAGCCACACUGGGACUGAGACACGGCCCAGACUCCUACGGGAGGCAGCAGUGGGGAAUCUUAGGACAAUGGGCGCAAGCCUGAUCCAGCCAUGCCGCGUGGAUGAUGAAGGCCUUAGGGUUGUAAAA
rnacentral:rRNA from 1 species